CCUAAAGGGCUCACACCUAGUGGCCCACGUUCCUUAUAGGACGAAACAAGAUUCAACUACAAAAUCCAACUCAUUGCCUACGUUUGAAAGCUGGGGAGCCUGCAGUACACAAGAUAAAGUCUUGCUUCUCCAUUUGUCCUUACGUGACUGGAAUUAUCUUUAAAUAGAGGAUAUUCAAAUAGCAUUUUUAUGCCUGGAGUUGUCGCAGCAUGAUUCCGGCAAAAGCCGCACUAUUUGUUAGCUGGCACACAGAGUUUUGGCCUGAAAUUCAGUAUUUUAUUUUACCCUUUAAAAGCAUGAAGUGACUCAACAGGAAAUUAUACAUACAUUUUUCCCUCCAAUGUAAAAACUGCAGAUCUAGUACCGAACAUGUCACGCUGGCAUUCAAUUUUCUAUUGCUAUCAUAUCUGGUUCCUUAGUGACAUAAGGUCACAAAACUUCUACUCCUGUGGCCAAGAGACAUAAUAGAUGUUGCGGUUGCUCAUUAUAUUAAAUUUGAAUUCCUAAGCUAAACAUUCUAGACCUGCACUAUUCGGCAUGGUGGCCACUAGCCACAUGUGACUAUGGAGCCCUUGAAAUGUGACCAGCCCAGAUGGAGACGUGCUGUAAAUAUACACUACACAAUGGAUUUUGAAGAUUUCAUAUAGAAAAAAAAUAAAGUCAAAUAUCUCAUCCAUAUUUUACACUGAUUACAUUUGAA
rnacentral:lncRNA from 1 species